rnacentral:rRNA from 1 species
AUUGAACGCUGGCGGCAUGCCUUACACAUGCAAGGUCGAACGGCAGCACGGGAGCAAUCCUGGUGGCGAGUGGCGAACGGGUGAGUAAUAUAUCGGAACGUGCCCAGUCGUGGGGGAUAACGUAGCGAAAGCUACGCUAAUACCGCAUACGAUCUAUGGAUGAAAGCGGGGGAUCGCAAGACCUCGCGCGAUUGGAGCGGCCGAUAUCAGAUUAGGUAGUUGGUGAGGUAAAGGCUCACCAAGCCGACGAUCUGUAGCUGGUCUGAGAGGACGACCAGCCACACUGGGACUGAGACACGGCCCAGACUCCUACGGGAGGCAGCAGUGGGAAUUUUGGACAAUGGGCGCAAGCCUGAUCCAGCAAUGCCGCGUGCAGGAUGAAGGCCUUCGGGUUGUAAACUGCUUUGUACGGAACGAAACGGUGAGCUCUAAUACAGUUUGCUAAUGACGGUACCGUAAGAAUAAGCACCGGCUAACUACGUG